GUGAGACAGUUCGGUCCCUAUCUGCCGUGGGCGUUGGAGAAUUGGUUGGGGCUGCUCCUAGUACGAGAGGACCGGAGUGGACGCACCGCUGGUGUUUCGGUUGUGUCGCCAGACGCAUUGCCGAGUAGCUAUGUGCGGAAGAGAUAAGUGCUGAAAGCAUCUAAGCACGAAACUUGCCAAGAGAUGAGUUCUCCCAGUCUAUAAGACUGUAAGGGUUGUUGGAGACUACGACGUAGAUAGGCGUGGUGUGUAAGCGUUGCGAGACGUUGAGCUAACACGUACUAAUUGCCCGAGAGGCUUAACUAUACAACGCUCAAG
rnacentral:rRNA from 1 species